AGGUUGCAACUAUUGCCGAGGGUAAACCUUGGAGUAUAGAGACCUCUUCAGCUCGAAACUAUGUAGCAUUCCAACCUGGACGGCUAGCAACUUCAGCCUCCACUUCACGCCUGUCAUCAAGCUCAGCGUCCUAUAGAGACAGUGGAAGCUUCCACAGCAGUAGCAGCACUGGUGAUCUAGGGGAGGUCUACAACGCGGGCUAUCAGGACUCAGAAACAUUGAAUAGUAACUAUGUCAAGAGACAAAAAGAUGAUUUCUUCAGUAGAGUUCAACAAGAAAAUGCCAAUCGUCCAGACUAUUUGCCCCCAAGUCAAGGUGGAAAAUAUACAGGCUUUGGUAACACUCCUCUUGUGGACAACAAAAAAGAUGAUUUUUUUGAUAACACACUCUCAACACUUUCUACAGGAUGGUCAACCUUUGCCUUGAGUGCUACAAAGUUUGCUUCUGCUGCCACAGAAAAGGUUUUGAGCAAUUCAAUUCAGUGUUCAUCUGUCCCUUAGUUUGUUGCAUGUUUGUUGAAUGUUGUGUCUUUAAAGCCUAACAUCUUUUGCUGUUGAUGUUGUUAUUAGUGAUAAUUAUUAAAAUUGUCAUUUUAGGAUUAACAAGAGCUUAAAUCAAAAGCUCAUACUUACAUCACAUAAUACACAUGAGAAAAGUGAGAUAUGCUGUACAGCAUUAAUAAUAAUAAUAAUAAUCUUUAUUAUC
rnacentral:sRNA from 1 species